rnacentral:antisense_RNA from 13 species
UGAGAAGUUGCUCCUUAUGAGUAAUUUUGGUCUAGCAUAGAGAAGAAACUUUAGCGAGAUUUUCUCUAUGCUUUUAUUAUAUCA